rnacentral:rRNA from 1 species
CCCUUAGAUGUUCUGGGCCGCACGCGCGCUACACUGAUACAAUCAACGAGAUCUCCUAGGCCGAAAGGCUCUCGGGUAACCUUGUGAAAUUGUAUCGUGAUAGGGCUUGACGAUUGUAAUUUUUUGUCACAAACGAGGAAUUCCUAGUAAGCGCAAGUCAUCAACUUGCACUGAUUACGUCCCUGCCCUUUGUACACACCGCCCGUCGCUCCUACCGAUUGAAUGUUCAGGCGAACAAUACGGAGCUGCGACCGUUCCUGGGCAACCAGGCCGGUCAAUCAGUGAAGUCUUGUAAGCCUUGACAUUUAGAGGAAGGAAAANUCGUAACA